UACGUAGGUGGCAAGCGUUGUUCGGAUUCAUUGGGCGUAAAGGGUGCGUAGGCGGCGCGGUAAGUCGGGUGUGAAAUCUUGGAGCUUAACUCCGAAACUGCAUUCGAUACUGCCGUGCUUGAGGACUGGAGAGGAGACUGGAAUUUACGGUGUAAGCGGUGAAAUGCGUAGAUAUCGUAAGGAAGACCAGUGGCGAAGGCGGGUCUCUGGACAGUUCCUGACGCUGAGGCACGAAGGCCAGGGGAGCAAACGGG
rnacentral:rRNA from 1 species